ACAUGACCUCCAUCAUUUCAGCCACAAAUCAACCCAUUUUCUGCCCAUGUGUGUGUGUUUCCUUUGCCCAUGUGUGUGUGUUUCCUUUGCCCAUGCGUGUGUGUUUUUCCUUUGCAUUUGCACACACAUAUUCUUCAUUAUUUCAGCCAACAAUCCACCCAUUUUCUGCCCAUGUCAAACUGUCCAUGCCAUGCUCUCUUUGUGUGUGUGUUGUCCAUGUUUCUUCCAUGUGCCUUGUUCAUCUUCUAGCUGUGCAUUUCCACUUGCUCCAAAGCCAAAUGAGUGCAAUCAUAACCCCAUUUGCUGCUGAGUGUUGAUGACAAAGCAAAACACAAAACAAGUGCCUUUACUUUCUCACUUUAUUAGCCAAAUCUGCUUAGCCCUUUUCUGAACCUUUUAGUGUUACAAUGCCCAUAACUUCUUCUAGAAAAAUGAUAUUAACAAUCCGUAAAUUGCUCCAGAAAAUAGACAUCCAUAGCUUUCCAAGCAUAUAAGG
rnacentral:lncRNA from 1 species